rnacentral:lncRNA from 1 species
AAGGCCCUGCUGCCUGUGGGCCAGGUCCAGCAAGUUCAAGGACCGAUGGGGACCUGCUUAUGAUGUUUGUGACAAACCCUAAUUUAGGAGGGGGGGAAGACCCUCUCAGACACCCUUAAGAAUUCCAGCACUCAAGGAGAGGGGUGGCGUAUGGACCCUGAUCGUUACUGCCCUAGACAGUAAGACCCAACAGAGAUUCACCAAUGGUCUCAGCAUCUGGGUUGUCCUCUUCGUCGUACUUGGCCAGUUCAUCGUCGUCCAGUGUGUGGUCGUCUUGUGGAUCCCCAUCCUCCAGUUGCUCCCUAGACUGGACCUGGGUCCGGGCUCUCUGCCAUCUUCUGAAGGACUGCCUGCCUCCUCUUCCUCACUCCCACCUUCCUCUUGUAACUUUUCUUUUGCUUCAGCAAUGAGACGUUUCACUUCCUCUUUAUUUAGCUCUACCUUGUCUGGCGUCUCUUUGGCCACGCCGCGGCGGACGCAGGCCACGCAGGUCACUUGGCGGCUGCGAUUCAUGAUGUUCGGCCUGACUGGAGACCUGGUCUCUGGGAGAGUCUAUGAGCUCCGCGAAGAGGAACAGCGCGCAGCAAGUUAGCUCAUUUUUGGUUUUACUCUUAGCCAUGGAGUAUCUUGCUGAAGACCAAGAGCCCUGGGGACAACCGUCCAUGGCCUAAACUCUGGAAUUGUUGGACCUGUUGUUCAUAUAGCUGUUUAU